rnacentral:misc_RNA from 1 species
GUAUUUCAUUGCGUUAAACGCGACAUACAUUCCAUGAGACUUUGUUGUAGUGUGUGUGUAAAGACGCAGAGCCACAGCAGGGGGACAGAGCCCACCCAGGCCAUAGAACUACAGAGGGUGCACAGGUGUGAGUGGAUGUGUAAACAGAGCGUGCACAUGCCCCCGUGUAGGGACCAGCAACAACUCUUGUUGACAAUUCGGUAAUGAUCCUUCCGCAGGUUCACCUACGGAAA